GACGAAUGCUGGCGGCAUGCUUUACACAUGCAAGUCGAACGGCAGCGGGGGCUUCGGCCCGCCGGCGAGUGGCGAACGGGUGAGUAAUGCAUCGGAACGUGCCCAGUCGUGGGGGAUAACACAUCGAAAGAUGUGCUAAUACCGCAUACGUCCUGAGGGAGAAAGCGGGGGAUCUUCGGACCUCGCGCGAUUGGAGCGGCCGAUGUCGGAUUAGCUAGUUGGUGGGGUAAAAGCCCACCAAGGCGACGAUCCGUAGCGGGUCUGAGAGGAUGAUCCGCCACACUGGGACUGAGACACGGCCCAGACUCCUACGGGAGGCAGCAGUAGGGAAUAUUGGACAAUGGGCGAAAGCCUGAUCCAGCCAUGCCGCGUGAGUGAUGAAGGCCUUAGGGUUGUAAAGCUCUUUCGGCGGGGACGAUAAUGACGGUACCCGCAGAAGAAGCCCCGGCUAACUUCGUGCCAGCAGCCGCGGUAAGUCACACUACA
rnacentral:rRNA from 1 species